rnacentral:rRNA from 1 species
UACGUAGGGACCAAGCGUUGUUCGGAUUUACUGGGCGUAAAGGGCGCGUAGGCGGCAUGACAAGUCACUUGUGAAAUCUCUGGGCUUAACCCAGAACGGCCAAGUGAUACUGUCGCGCUAGAGUGCGGAAGGGGCAAUCGGAAUUCUCGGUGUAGCGGUGAAAUGCGUAGAUAUCGAGAGGAACACCUGAGGUGAAGACGGGUUGCUGGGCCGACGCUGACGCUGAGUGCGCGAAAGCCAGGGGA